rnacentral:miRNA from 2 species
ACCGGAUGUCGGAAAAGGUUU